GUGAACGCUGGCGGUAGGCCUAACACAUGCAAGUCGAACGGCAGCACAGUAAGAGCUUGCUCUUACGAGUGGCGAGUGGCGGACGGGUGAGGAAUACAUCGGAAUCUACUUUUUCGUGGGGGAUAACGUAGGGAAACUUACGCUAAUACCGCAUACGACCUACGGGUGAAAGCAGGGGAUCUUCGGACCUUGCGCGAUUGAAUGAGCCGAUGUCGGAUUAGCUAGUUGGCGGGGUAAAGGCCCACCAAGGCGACGAUCCGUAGCUGGUCUGAGAGGAUGAUCAGCCACACUGGAACUGAGACACGGUCCAGACUCCUACGGGAGGCAGCAGUGGGGAAUAUUGGACAAUGGGCGCAAGCCUGAUCCAGCCAUACCGCGUGGGUGAAGAGGGCCUUCGGGUUGUAAAGCCCUUUUGUUGGGAAAGAAAAGCAGCAGGUUAAUACCCCGCUGUUCUGACGGUACCCAAAGAAUAAGCACCGGCUAACUUCGUG
rnacentral:rRNA from 1 species